rnacentral:rRNA from 1 species
UCGGCCUGCGCGGAAGAUGUAACGGGGCUAAGCUAUACACCGAAGCUGCGGCUACGUACCUUAGGGUAUGUGGGGUAGGGGAGCGUUCUGUAAGCCGUUGAAGGUGGUCUGUAAGGGCUGCUGGAGGUAUCAGAAGUGCGAAUGCUGACAUGAGUAACGAUAAAGGGAGUGAAAAACUCCCUCGCCGGAAGACCAAGGGUUCCUGUCCAACGUUAAUCGGGGCAGGGUAAGUCGACUCCUAAGGCGAGGCCGAAAGGCGUAGUCGAUGGGAAACAGGUUAAUAUUCCUGUACUUCUUACAAUUGCGAUGGGGGGACGGAGAAGGCUAGGUGGGCCUGGCGACGGUUGUCCAGGUUCAAGUAYGUAGGCGGGUGGUUUAGGUAAAUCCGGACCGCUACUAACGCUGAGAUACGAUGUCGAGCUACUACGGUAGUGAAGUCAUUGAUGCCAUGCUUCCAGGAAAAGCCUCUAAGCUUCAGAUUGUAAGGAAUCGUACCCCAAACCGACACAGGUGGUCGGGUAGAGAAUACCAAGGCGCUUGAGAGAACUCGGGUGAAGGAACUAGGCAAAAUGGUACCGUAACUUCGGGAGAAGGUACGCUCUUAUCAGUGAAGUCCCUUGCGGAUGGAGCAGACGAGAGUCGCAGAUACCAGGUGGCUGCAACUGUUUAUU